ensembl:ncRNA W01A11.11 ncRNA
AUUCAAUUGCCAAAAUUGAGAGGAUCAAGGAACAUGGCACAGGAAUCGUUGUGUAGGAACAACCAAGUUUGGAGAAAUGCACUCGAACUUGCAAGUUGCUCUUCACUGCCGAGAUGCGCACCUCGAGAAACACUUAUGGUAUUGGGCACUCGGAAUCAUUCUCUUCUUACUAACAGCUUUU